CACGUGGAGAACCUGCCCCCUCCCCCGGGAUAGCCGCCCGAAAGGACGGGUAAUACCGGAUACCCCGGGGUGCCGCAUGGCACCCCGGCUAAAGCCCCGACGGGAGGGGAUGGCUCCGCGGCCCAUCAGGUAGACGGCGGGGUGACGGCCCACCGUGCCGACAACGGGUAGCCGGGUUGAGAGACCGACCGGCCAGAUUGGGACUGAGACACGGCCCAGACUCCUACGGGAGGCAGCAGUGGGGAAUCUUGCGCAAUGGGGGGAACCCUGACGCAGCGACGCCGCGUGCGGGACGGAGGCCUUCGGGUCGUAAA
rnacentral:rRNA from 1 species